AACAUACCGAUGACGGAGAAAGUAGUUAGUUCCCAUCUGGGCAGAGAUAAAAUGUCGAGGCUGAAAACAUUUUACAUGAUGGUCUAAUGAAAAGACACUCCUAAGGUUUUACAUCGAACGUACGUAGUAAAUUAGUAGGUGUAGACGUCUUGCAGGCGUUAACUGUGAAGAGUGGAUGCUUAAGUGCAUCAACUAGGGUGGCAACGCGGGUAACUCUCGUCCCUUCU
rnacentral:ncRNA from 1 species